GGAGUUUGGUCCGUGUCUCAGUACCAAUGUGGGGGACCUUCCUCUCAGAACCCCUACUGAUCGUCGCCUUGGUGGGCCGUUACCCCGCCAACUGGCUAAUCCAACGCGGGUCCAUCCCAUACCACCGGAGUUUUUCACACAGGGUCAUGCGACCUCGUGCGCUUAUGCGGUAUUAGCAGACAUUUCUGUCUGUUAUCCCCCGGUAUGGGGCAGGUUCCCCACGCGUUACUCACCCGUCCGCCACUAAGAUCAAACUUCUUUGACCGAAGUCUCCAAAAUAUGAUCUCCGUUCGACUUGCAUGUGUUAGGCACGCCGCCAGCGUUCAUC
rnacentral:rRNA from 1 species